GGGCGGGUAAAAAGUAUUUCGGGUGGAAGAUGAGGAGGAAGAACAGAAGAAGAGAGAAGCGGCGGCGGCUGAGCAGAAAAGGCACAGAGGGUCUGCGCUGACAUGGAUGGACUGUUCACAAGAACGAGGUACCGUCAAGAUCUGCUGAAUGUUGCUCACCCUAGGGAACUGGCGAUCCCAAGGAGCCGUGCGUUCCGUGCCGUAACUGAGGAGCAGUGAUAAGCAGGUGUAUUCUGAUUGUGUCUUUAGAUUGAAUCAUUCAGGGGGUGUCCUGUGGUGACUAAUGCAGUCUUGUGACAGCGUGGUCCGUAAUGAAUGUUGCCACCAGGUGGCAGAGUAUGUGGGGGUUCAAUGGUAAACGGUACAGGGUGUGGCCGCUGCUGUUGGUACUGCAGUCUUAAGCUGGUACUGUCUGUAAUAUGAAUGUUGCCACUAGAUAGCGCAGUGUGUGGAUGUACAAAAUAGUACAGGGAGUGGCUGCUGGUGACAGUGCUGUCUGAAUUCUAAAUGUUGCCACUAGGCAACACAAUGUGUGGAUGUACAAAUGGUAAAGGGAGUGGCCGCUGGUGACAGUACUGCAGUUUUAUGACAGUAUUGUCUGUUGCCACUAGGUGGCAGUGUAUGGGCAUAAAAAUGCUGCAGGGAGUGGUCACUGGUGACGCAGCUGCAGUGUGAUCUAUUAUGAAUGUUGCCACUAGGUGGCAGUGUGAAUGUACAAUAGUGAUGGAGGAGGAAGAAUAGGUCCAAAAAAAAACAUUCUUGGUUUGGGGUGGGAGGGGGGGAAUUGAGUUGUCUCUAAUUUUAUUUUCCAGGUCUAAUUUCAUCCCAUUUCAAGCACUGAACUGAAUAGGCGACUUCAUCUGUAGACUUAAACAGUCAAGUUCCAUUUUAAAGGCGUUAUAUGCAGACAUCUGGCAUGGCAUGGGUAUUUAAUUUUAUCUGUAAUGAUUUAGGUAUAUUUGGGGAGAAUCUAGAUUAGUUAUGUAUGGCCUUAGCUGUAAGGGGAGGGGGUGAAUAUAACUAGACAUCCCUUUAGGUUUCCCAUGUGGUCAGUGCGUAGAUAGGUGGGGGGUAGGUGGUUAGGUAGUUGUAUCUGGGUGGGGCGGGGCUAUAAAUGGUUAUUUUUAGAUUCUUUUCAGACAACACCCACGUAGAAGCAGUUCCGUGUUUUUCUGCCAAGGACAACAGUGGAUCCUUACAUGAUGAUUCCCCUAGCCCAAGAUGUACGACCUGAGCUCAGUGUGCCGUUAGGAGUAUGAGUCCCUCCCUUGUGAGCCAAAGAUCUUCCUACAUGUGCCUGUGAUAUUCUGCAUUCCAAAGUCCCAUUACUGCUGUCCCGCCAGUGGAAGGAUUCCAUGGUUCCUGCCGGUCAUCACAACACAUCCCCUGGGGUGGGACCCCUAAUAAAGAUGCGUUUCUAGUGUGGUCCCUACCAUCAUACCUACCAUCACUUGCCCUAACCCUUAAGGAGCCCCAAGUCUUCUGAACAUUAUGUUGCACUAUGAAGAUAAUCAAGCCCUUUAUUAAGAACAUUUAAGUUAUGAGCCACCCCCUAGAUAAGGAUCAAAUUAAUUGCAAACCCAGCAUGUUAUGGACGUAAAGAUAUAGUUUUAAUUUAUUCACUGGAUCCGCAGUGAGAAGUUGCACAAUAUUUUUAAAGUUCACUGGAACCCCAUAGAAAGUUGUUCAAUAUGUUUUUAUCACUUGUACUGAUAUUUGCAUUAAGUCACUUGGUGUGUGUGUGUAAAUACUGUCAUUUUAUAAUACGAGUAUUUGUGCAUUUAGUGUGUGCCAGAUGAGCCACGCUUUAGACUUUGUAUGUACUGUUGCAGAUUGCAGACUUGUAUUUGCAUAUUUGUGAUGCCAGACAGCUUUGUCGUAAUUUUUAGGCCUCUAUAAUGAGGCCCAAGUAGUCGUGUCUGUGUUUUAUUUAACGGCUCUUUAAAUUGUGUCGUUCUUUUGUUUUAAAAAAAAAAAACAAGCAUGAAAGGUACAUUUGUUGAAUAAGGUAUCAAAUGAUAAAAUUACAAAUAUAAAAAUAGCUUCGCUUUAAUAAACAAAGCUUCGCUUUAACAAACGUCAAGGAUGAGGACCAACAGUCAUCCUGGAACAUCAGCUAACCAAAGCUUCACUCAGCUGAGGAUUCCCAAAGGAACAAGCUGGAACGUCAAUACAUAUUAAAUACAAUGAAAAGAUCAUAAUAACCUAAAACUAUUAAUUCCUUA